AACGAACGCUGGCGGCGCGCUUAACACAUGCAAGUCGAACGAGAAGGCGUAGCAAUACGCUUGUACAGUGGCGAACGGGUGAGUAAUACGUGGGCGACCUACCCUCGAGUGGGGAAUAACCCGCCGAAAGGCGGGCUAAUGCCGCGUACGCUUCCAUCUUUAUGGAGGUGGAAGGAAAGCCGUGCCGUGGGCACGGCGCUCAAGGAUGGGCUCACGUCCUAUC
rnacentral:rRNA from 1 species